UACGGGAGGCAGCAGUGGGGAAUCUUGCGCAAUGGGCGAAAGCCUGACGCAGCCAUGCCGCGUGAAUGAUGAAGGUCUUUAGGGAUUGUAAAAUUCUUUUCACCGGGGACGAUAAUGACGGUACCCGGAGAAGAAGCCCCGGCUAACUUCGUGCCAGCAGCCGCGGUAAUACGAAGGGGCUAGCGUUGCUCGGAAUUACUGGGCGUAAAGGGCGCGUAGGCGGAUCGUUAAGUCAGAGGUGAAAUCCCAGGGCUCAACCCUGGAACUGCCUUUUGAUACUGGCGAUCUUGAGUAUGAGAGAGGUAUGUGGAACUCCGAGUGUAGAGGUGAAAUUCGUAGAUAUUCGGAAGAACACCAGUGGCGAAGGCGACAUACUGGCUCAUUACUGACGCUGAGGGCGCGAAAGCGUGGGGAGCGAAACAGGGAUUGAUACC
rnacentral:rRNA from 1 species